rnacentral:sRNA from 1 species
GGAUGUGAGGGCGAUCUGGAUGCGACAUCUGUCACCCCAUUGAUCGCCAGGGUUGAGUCGGGCUGAUCUGGCUGGAUAGGCAGAUGUUCCACUUUCCCCCCUACUGCUCCAUGUGUGUCCCUCCCGAAGCUAAGGUCGAAGAGGAAGGCCUUCCCCAAUAGAAACUGACCCGUCUUAGGUCAAAGGGUAUUUCAGUAGCUGUGCUCCCCUUGCAAGAAUCUUUCAACAACUCUCAAGAAGUAAAGUGUUCCUUUCU